rnacentral:rRNA from 1 species
UACGGGGGGGGCAAGCGUUGUUCGGAAUUACUGGGCGUAAAGGGUUCGUAGGUGGCCUGCUAAGUCACACGUGAAAUCCCUCAGCUUAACUGGGGAACUGCGUGUGAUACUGGCGAGCUUGAGUGCAGGAGAGGAAGGUGGAAUUCCCGGUGUAGCGGUGAAAUGCGUAGAUAUCGGGAGGAACCCCAGAGGCGAAGGCGGCGCUCUGGCUCGCAACUGACGCUCAGACACGACAGCAUGGGGAGCGAACGGG